rnacentral:rRNA from 1 species
GAGACGCUGGCGGCGUGCCUAACACAUGCAAGUCGAGCGAAUGAAGUUCCUUCGGGAACGGAUUUAGCGGCGGACGGGUGAGUAACACGUGGGCAACCUGCCUCAUAGAGGGGAAUAGCCUUCCGAAAGGGAGAUUAAUACCGCAUAAGAUUGUAGUACCGCAUGGUACAGCAAUUAAAGGAGCAAUCCGCUAUGAGAUGGGCCCGCGGCGCAUUAGCUAGUUGGUGAGGUAACGGCUCACCAAGGCGACGAUGCGUAGCCGACCUGAGAGGGUGAUCGGCCACAUUGGGACUGAGACACGGCCCAGACUCCUACGGGAGGCAGCAGUGGGGAAUAUUGCACAAUGGGGGAAACCCUGAUGCAGCAACGCCGCGUGAGUGAUGACGGCCUUCGGGUUGUAAAGCUCUGUCUUCAGGGACGAUAAUGACGGUACCUGAGGAGGAAGCCACGGCUAACUACGUG